rnacentral:rRNA from 1 species
AGCCAUGCACGUCUAAGUAUAAAUGUUAUACAGUGAAACUGCGAAUGGCUCAUUAAAACAGUUAUAGUUUACUUGACGAUCAAAUUUACAUGGAUAACCGUGGUAAUUCUAGAGCUAAUACAUGCUGUUAAGCCUGACUUUUUGGAAGGGCUGUAUUUAUUAGAUACAAAUCAAUAUUCCUCGUGUCUAUUGUGAUGAUUCAUAAUAACUGAUCGAAUCGCAUGGACUUUGUCCGCGAUACGUCAUUCAAGUUUCUGCCCCAUCAGCUCUCGAUGGUAGUGUAUUGGACUACCAUGGCAUUUACGGGUAACGGAGGAUUAGGGUUCGAUUCCGGAGAGGGAGCCUGAGAAACGGCUACCACAUCUAAGGAAGGCAGCAGGCGCGUAAAUUACCCAAUCCUAAUUCAGGGAGGUAGUGACAAGAAAUAACGGGCUGAGGCUUUUGCUUCAGGAUUGCAAUGAGUUGAAUUUAAACCCCUUUUCUAGGAUCAAUUGGAGGGCAAGUCUGGUGCCAGCAGCCGCGGUAAUUCCAGCUCCAAUAGCGUAUAUUAAAGUUGUUGCAGUUAAAAAGCUCGUAGUUGGAUUUCUGAGGGACGGCAAAGUCGGCUGUUGCAUGUACUGCGCCGGCCCCUCAUCCUUCUGUUAACCCUUCUUGGUAUUUACUUACUGGUUGGGGGCUCAGAUAGUUUACCUUGAGAAAAUUAGAGUGUUCCAGGCAGGCUUAGUCCGGAAUACAUUAGCAUGGAAUAAUAGAAUAGGACUGAUGUCUCUUUUGUUGGUUUGAGGGACUUUAGUAAUGAU